UAAUGAGGUUGGGCUAACAAGAAAGAAUUGGUUUUUCUAGAAUGCAAAAUCCUUGAAUCAAGAGAGCUAACAAAAUAUUCAACAUUUAAGCACCACUCUCACCAAUGUCUCUCAUUCCCAAUUUUUCCCUUUUCUUUUUCUUUUGCAUUGAGCUCUUCUUCAUGCUUUUCUUCUUUUCUUUUCUUUUUCUCUUGAAUUUUCUCUUUUCACAACAAUUGAGCUCAAUGCCUUUCAUUUGCUUUUUCAAUUUUCUCCCGUACAACCCCAAACUUGAACCUUUUCAUCACAUACAAGUUAGCUCCUCCCAACUCAAGGUAAAGAAUUU
rnacentral:lncRNA from 1 species